rnacentral:lncRNA from 1 species
GGAGGACCACACUCCUGACCAGCUGGCAGGCUCUAAAGCUUCCAGAUCACCAACCAGCUUAGAACUAUUUCAGUUGGAGACUUAAGAACCAACAGUCCAAACAUCCCCCAAAGCUUCACACGGGCAAAAUACAUAAUUAUAAGCAUAYACACAAAAUGAUACAUACCUUUUUAAAGGGAGUUACCCAAACCAGCAGAGCUAAGGCGAUGACGCUAGGGUUAACUGGAAUACGAUUUCUGGAGCUUAYGCAGGAAAUAAGUAUCUCCCUAAYCCACAGAGACAUUUGGUCUCUUGUUCCACAGGGGUCAGAGUCAGCRAGCUAUCAGUGAAUGCACGCAGUGYGUAWGCGGAUCCAGCGCUACAAGUGGAGCAYUGGCAAUGUAACAGGGGACUAGAAAAUUUGCUAUAAAAAAUAGAGAACAGGACAGAUAUUCCCACCAUUCCUGUGCUGGAUACCACCACUAGUAACACGGAUCACCAGGGGCAGCAGCAGAGCGAGUAGCUCCUGGGUCUAUGCUGGGCUAUGUACUGUUCUGAAGCUUGUCUACCGCAAGUGAGAGGGAAGUUUCCAUGCAAAAGACCACCUAAGCUGGAACAGCUCCUGCUGAAGUCAACAGAAAGCCUCGCGUGUUGACUCCAGAGGGCUUUGCAGGACUUCUGCUCCAUUUGCUGAAGAGUUGAAAAACAGUGGAAAAGAAUAACUGUGCCAGAUGAAUGUCGUAUGAAUUGGAGAAUCCACAUCAGUGAGUAUCCUUCUGGCAUCACCAGCACAACUGUAUCCAGCGGUGAUGAAGAAGGAUGAGAAAUUGAAGAAAUUAAGAAGAUUCAUUACAAACUUGCAAUGCCCAAAUGAGGGCUCAGACCUAAGCCCACUUCCAAAGGCCGGUCCCUCCCCAGCGCCCGGCCSGUGCAGCAGGGCUGUCAGGGACAACACCCAAGCUCUCCAGCAGCUGUGGCCUUUGCACUGACAAAGCUCAGUUGAUGAACUUGUUACCAUCUCAGUUCCAAAAUAUUCAGCUGAAAAGUGGCAGAGCAGAGGCACAUAUUCAUCACGAAAUAUUUGUGUACUAAAUGCAGUAGUGAAAUUAAAGUUUCUAAACUUAACUUGAUGAAAGUAUUACAGUAUUUGCAGCCUCAAAAUAUAAAUGGGGAAUGGCAAAUACUUCUCAGUUCAAUCAUGACAGCAUGAAACAAAUACAAGAGAAAUACUUCUGGACCCUCUGGGUUUCCACUGCUGUGACAAAUGAGAAGGAACCUAUGGCUGACUAUGGGAACCGUAUCAUCAAAGCCAACUGAACAAAGCAGAAAUCGUUGAAUACUCUUAUCAGGAAAGAAUUAAAAAAUGUUACAGUAAAAAUUAGCUACUUUUUUUGCCCACAACUGAACCAUGAACUAUUUAUUUUUUAAUGUAAAUAUUGCAAAAUAAAGACUGAUCUAUGGUCUAUGUGUGUUUCUUA